UUUUCUAUUUCUUUAGUAGAUUCAUUGGUCAUUUUUUGAAUUUCCAAUUUUUUUAACGAAAUUUUUGAAUUUAUAUGAAUUCGAAUACAGUUCAGAAAGCCAUUAUUGCGGUAUGGGUGCCAGGUGCUAACGAAUAUAUAAUAAGAACAUUUUCCCAAGUUAACUUUUAUACAAUUCCUUUGGAAGGAAAAUUGCCUUUAUUAAACGGUGAAACUAUAGAUAUCAUCAAAGAUUAUAUGUAUAUGGUAGCAGACCCCACUAUUGCUGCACAUUUGAUACCCUUUAUGCCCAAACUAAAAUGGAUACAAUGUAUAUCAGCUGGGGUAGAUGGAUUUUUUGAUAAUAUUAAUAGAGAUAGAAUCCCUAAAAAUCUUAUAUUCACACGUAUGAUUGGAAUUUAUGGAAAAAUUAUGGCUGAAUAUGUAAUAUCACAAAUUAUUGGAAAUGAACGACACUAUUUUAAAAUGCAUGACAACCAAUUGCAACAUAAAUGGUCCAAAAAUGGAUGGGGUUACAGAAUUAUGUCAGAUCUAACUAUUGGGUUAAUGGGCUUUGGUGAUAUCGGGAAAACGGUCGCAGAGCUUUGCAUGGUCUUCGGUUCUAAAAUAGUUGUCUUGGUGCGAUCAGACAGGCCUACAGAAAAUAAAUUUUGCUAUGAUAUCACAUUUACCAAGGAUUUGCCUGUCUUCUUGUCCCACUGCGAUUAUAUCAUAUCGAUUUUGCCUAGUACCCCUUUAACCAAGGGAAUGUUGAAUGGAGGGAUCUUAAGUCACGCCAAAGCCAAGAAACCAACAUUUAUCAAUUUGGGAAGAGGAGACAUCGUGUCCGAAGACGAAAUUAUAAGGGCCAUCGAUGAGAAUUGGAUAUCUGGAGCCAUAUUGGACGUUUUCGAGGAAGAACCGUUAACGCCCACGAGCAAAUUAUGGGAUAUGCCUCAGAUCACCAUAACCCCUCACAUUUCCGCUACAUGCAUGCCUUCAUUACGAGUGUUAUAAAAAACAUCAAUUUAGAGGCGGUAUCAAUAUUUUAGCCAAAAAAAGAUCACCCACGCCUCAAGAUUUCGCAUAUGAUAGAAAGUUUGGGCCUUUUGACCAAUAACCAAAGCUAGUGGCUUAGAUAUGUUUCAAUGUCAGAAGAUUUUUUAGAUAAAAUUUGGUUGUUUACAAGAACAUCAGCGUUACAUCACAACAAAUUGACCACAUAGCUAAAGUUUUUCAAGAGAACUUAAGUAGGUACGAACAAAAUCAGCCUUUGCUGGGAUUGGUAGAUUUCGAUAAGCAAUAUUGAAGAAAUAAAAAUAAUAAUUAUUUUUUUAUAUAGAAAUUUAUUUAAAUUUAAUAUAUUAUUGUUAUAUUUGCAAUAUACCAUUAUUAUCAUUUA